rnacentral:rRNA from 1 species
CACGUAGGGGGCAAGCGUUGUCCGGAUUUAUUGGGCGUAAAGAGCUCGUAGGCGGCUCGGUAAGUCGGGUGUGAAACCUCCAGGCUCAACCUGGAGACGCCACCUGAUACUGCUGUGGCUAGAGUCCGGUAGGGGAGUGUGGAACUCCUGGUGUAGCGGUGAAAUGCGCAGAUAUCAGGAGGAACACCGGUGGCGAAGGCGCCACUCUGGGCCGAAACUGACGCUGAGGAGCGAAAGCGUGGGUAGCAAACAGG